AAAAACCUAGUGGGAAAAAUGCUCCUAAUCGUAGGGAAAAAGAGUACAUUAAGAUCAAGUGAGUAUGCUUCUAGAUACUCUCCUUGAGUUUGACAGAACUUCUAAAUGAGAAUUACAAGCAUUGGAUAUGAUAGUUAAGCAUACUAAUUCCUCGGACAAGCUUCUGGAAAGUUGACUUCGACAGUGAUGUCGUGUAGAGGUCGGCAAGGUUGUCUGAGAUCGGCUUGCAUACCUUUAAUCUCUUGAUGCUUUGCUGAUGUAGAUGUGGAUGCAAUAUGUCUUGUCGUUGACUUCGUUGGUGUAUCAUGGCUUGGUCGGGUGGAUACAUACGGCAUAAUCUUCAUAGAUCGUCGUUGGGACUCAACGAUGGAUGAAAAUAACAAGUAUUUCGAAUAUAAUCAAUAAGAACUCCUAACCAUGUCUCACGUAUGGCGUAGUGAAGUAAGCUGAGUCUUGGAAUGAUUCGAAGAUUUCGCAACUAAGGUCAUAUUGUGGACCUCCAAGAUAUUCCGAUAUCCCUAAAUGAUAAAGACAUAACCAUUUGGGGAUUUUGCUUUGUGCGGGUUUGAUAAAGUAACCUACGUCAGCUUAAUAAAUAAGGCAAGCAUCAUUUCGAGGAUCGGGGGGGUUGGAUCCGCUCAAGAUGCUUUGGGAUUUUCCCAAAAUCAUAGUACCUUUAGGGUACGUCUUUAAUACCAAUUCAAUGGUUGCGUGUAGGCGUGGUGAGGCAUCUUUACCAAUAAAUCAACAUCGAAGGAGAUGUCUUAUCUUAAUACAAUGAGCUAAGUACAACGAAGCGCAAAGUUGAACUUUAGAUAUGGAAUUUCGGAUUCCAUAACCUCUUCAAGGGUCUUAGUUGCAUAUAACGUAUGGACGAUCAUAGGUAUACUCAAAGGUAACACAUUCAGGGUGUAGUUUGACUGGUAGACCAAGGUACCAUCAGAACAACGGUUCAACUUCAGGUUAAGGCAUAAACGAGUUUUCCCAAGAUCAUUCAUCUCAAAUUCCAUCUUCAGGUGCGAGGCAGUUUUCUCAAGCUCUUCCGGAGUCUUAGUGAGAUUCGUGUUAACAACAUAAACCGUAACUCUAGCAAUUCGGAAUAAGACUUCAUAGUUUAACACGCAAGGGCAUAAUUCAUCCUUGACUGAUCAAAUUAUCACUUAGAUAGGUAUACCACUUCCGUCGGAUUGUAAAUGAACGCCUCAAACAAGUUAAGAGGGUGUUUCAUGGUUUGGAACUAUUUGAACCAGUCCAUGUAAUGCUUUGGGAAUUUAAAUGUAAAUCUCCGUAUCUAUAUCCCCAUGGAGAAAACACUAACCACAUUUCAUAAUGCUACUAUUAAUUACAGGACAUUUGAGAGAAACCUUGCGCCGUAAAGCAUGCAUCAUAUCGCACUAUUUCAUUCAUCUUAUAACGCUUCAUUUCCCACUU
rnacentral:lncRNA from 1 species